rnacentral:lncRNA from 1 species
CAUGAGGACGUUGGCGGAAACGGUUCUGACAGGCGGGCGCGUGAGCGGCUUCCGAGCGGCCGGAUCUCGGUCUCGGAAGUUCGGCCUCUGUCGGAGGCCGCCCCGCGGGGCUUUCUCCCUCCUGCCCGCAUCUCCCGCGAGAAGCCGAGGGGACCCGAGAGGCGCGUGCGAGGAGCGGCCGGGCCGGGCUCCCCGCUGCCGCCCGGGGCCGGCGCCGGAGCCUCGGAAUGGCAGAGCCGGGCUGCUCGGGAUCCUCCGGCCCCCUUCACCCACAUGGAGAAACUGAGGCCCAGGCAACACAAAGACCUGCGUCGAGGGCUCACGGCCCGGGCCCGGCGCCUGUCGGAUGCCCGGCGUGCGGUCUCCCUCCCCCCGGGGUCGGGGUCGGGCCGCUCGGCAGGCGGUGCGCGGGGGCGAGGCUGCAGGUGGGAGCAAGGGGCUGUCCCGCCUCCCGAGGGGUGGGAAGGCCUGGAGACUCACGGCUCUUCCUGUCGCGGAGCUUCCCCGCCUGGCGCGGGGGCGGUGCGCUCGCGUGUGAAGGAUGCAGGAUGCUGAGCCCUGUUUCCGUGUCUGCAAAACGGUGAUGAGCUUUUUAAAGGAGCGCUCGGCACGACUCUUUGGGCGGAAGAAAUGCCCCCAAAUGAUAGCUAUUAUCCGGGAGCUUCCACCCUCUCUGCAUGCUCCGCUCUGAGCUGCUGGCCGCCUGAUUUCACAAGGAGAUAGUCACUCCCAGCCGUGUCCUCCCGCCACCACCACCGCAGCCACCAGCACCUGUGGCGCCUUCCACAUAGCUCCAGGCACCCCCUGUGGCUCUCUCCUCCCCAGGCCUCACCUCGCCUCUCUCGACACUCACCCACAGGCGACCCCAGCCAGUCCCUCGACUUAAGGCCGUCAGAGCACUGAGCCCUUCCGUUGCCUGCCUCCCGCCUGGCUUUCCCCCCUGAGGUCCAGACGCACGUAUCUGACCAUCUAUGUCACAGCUUCCUUUGGAGAUUUUGUAUAAAGUGGGUGCAAAAUAAACCCACCUGCCUGGAUCCCUUCCAUCCACAUUAUUGUUUCUUUGCAUCUCUACAAGCAUUUUGUCUGCUUUUGCACAAGCGCCGGCACCUGCAGCUCUUUUCAGAGAACCUCCCCUGGGCUCUGGACCACGUGCCAGCAUCCCUUUGCCUGCCCACUCAGAGCAUCAGAAGGGCCUUGGAGCUUACGUUCCCCCAGGGCAGCCUUUAGGCAACGACUGACGGGUGCGGACAACUCGGAGAUGGAACAGCCUCCAGAGCUCCCUGCGGGAUGGACUAUGGGCCCUGGCAGGACUCCGCCUGAGCUUGCUCCCUCGCAGCCCUGCUUCCCCAGCGCCUCUUUCUUUCACUUCACACAUGCAAUCCAUCAGGUCAGCUCCAUCUUCAAAUUAUAUCGAGAAUCUGCAUGCUUUCGUCACCUUCACCAAGACCACCUGAGUCCAGCCCACCAUCAGCACGGACCCGGACCAGUGCGGUAGCCUCCUCAUUGGUCUCUGCUUCUGCUUUUGUGUCGUACAGUUUCUUUGUGCACAGCAACCAGAGGGCUCUGAGCAUGCAUAAAAGAUUGGAAACCUAAAUGCUGGUGAAUACUACUUUUUUUUUUUUUUUGGCUGAGGAAGAUUCACCCUGAGCUAACAUCUGUUGCCGGUCUCCCUCUGUUUUGUAUGUGGGUCACUGCCACAGCAUGGAUGCCCACCAGUGGUGUAGGUCCACGCCCAGGAACCAAGCCCGGGCCGCCCAGCAGAGUGCACUAAACUUGAAACCACUAGACCACAGGGCUGGCCCCCCUGAUAAUAGUCACUAAUACUGUGCACGUUGCCAGGGCCAGGCACCAUGCCAAGCUCUUUAUAUUCAUUUGGCUGUGCUGGGCUGUAUCCUGGGUGCCUGCUGUGCACCAGGCACUCUGCCCUGCCUGGGGUAACGGGGUAAAGAAGAGGAAGAUCUUCCUCUGUGAGCUGACACACUGGUGAGGAGGCUGACAGUGAGCAAGUGAAAUACAAAUAAAUAAUGACAGGUUUGACAAGUGCUAUGAAGAAAAUCAACAGGGUGAUGCGGUCAUCAACAAGAGAGGCCAACUUUAGAUGAGCAGGGAAGGCUUCCUGGAGGAGACCCCUGAGUGGAAAGCAGAGGAUGAUGAGGAGCUAGCCACGCAAAGAGCCAGGUGGAGUGCAUUUCAGGCAUAAGCGCUGGGGCCGGCGUGGUGGGUGAGUCAGCGAGAGGCGGGUGGCAGGGCGGAUAGGCCAGGGCCUGUGGGCUGCAGUGAGGACUUUGGCUUUUACUGAGUAAAGUGGGAGCCAUGGAGGGUUCUUGAGCAGAGAAGGAGUGUGAACACACUCAGCUGUUCACAGGCGUCCAUCUGUGCCUUUGGGGUAUGACCGAGGGCCUUCCUGGGCCCGUUCAGCUGACCCCAUCUUAUCAACAGUGUAAUUAAGAGUGGUUUUUCAGGAACUGAGAAACGACCUCUCAUCCAGUUCAGGCCAGUCGAGGCCACCAACCCAUCAACUGGGCCUGCACAAAUGCCGGAGAAGUGACCCUUUUGACAUCAAGGGGCUGGAAACUCCCCCCUCAGAGCAUACUAAUGUACCUAUAUUGUGAACAUGCGUCCUGCGAAGAGCCACGGAGCUCGACCACGCUUGCGCAGACCCUCAGUCACCUCACCUCUCUCACCUCCAAUCAUCUGUCUCCACGCUUCAGACCGCCCUGCCCUUCCUCCCACAAAUUCGGAUCGGGGAGACAGACCGGACAGCACGUGCCCCCGGCUCCUUACCGAUCCAUAUAGCAAUAAAGCUGAUGCUGUAAUAGUUGGCUUUUUUAAUGCACAUCGGAUAGGACCCCAUCUUCGUGCGGUAACGGGGGAACAGUGGAGGAGGGGAGGGAAUAGCGAGGGCCAGGGACCAAGGAAAGAGACUGCACUGUCCAGAUGAGUGACAGUGGGAGCUGAAGACAGGGGAGAAGUGGGCAGGUUUAGCGGCUAUGUUGGAGGCGGGGCUAACAGGAGGUGGGGCGGGGGGCGGGGUGGCAAGGAAAGAACAAACUCAGAGGGUGGAGGUGAGCGGGGUACCCAGAGGGCAUCAGCACAGGGUGUGGGAUGAGGGCUUCAGGGUCAGAGACCUGGAUUCCAG